rnacentral:rRNA from 1 species
AGAGUUUGAUCCUGGCUCAGAUUGAACGCUGGCGGCAUGCCUUACACAUGCAAGUCGAACGGUAACAGGUCUUCGGAUGCUGACGAGUGGCGAACGGGUGAGUAAUACAUCGGAACGUGCCCGAUCGUGGGGGAUAACGCAGCGAAAGCUGUGCUAAUACCGCAUACGAUCUACGGAUGAAAGCGGGGGAUCGCAAGACCUCGCGCGGACGGAGCGGCCGAUGGCAGAUUAGGUAGUUGGUGGGAUAAAAGCUUACCAAGCCGACGAUCUGUAGCUGGUCUGAGAGGACGACCAGCCACACUGGGACUGAGACACGGCCCAGACUCCUACGGGAGGCAGCAGUGGGGAAUUUUGGACAAUGGGCGCAAGCCUGAUCCAGCCAUGCCGCGUGCAGGAUGAAGGCCUUCGGGUUGUAAACUGCUUUUGUACGGAACGAAAAAGCUCUCUCUAAUACAGGGGGUGAAUGACGGUACCGUAAGAAUAAGCACCGGCUAACUACGUGCCAGCAGCCGCGGUAAUA